ACUCAAAUGAAUUGACGGGGACCCGCACAAGCGGUGGAACAUGUGGUUUAAUUCGAUGCAACGCGAAGAACCUUACCUGGGCUUGACAUCUACGGAACCUCUGUGAAAGCAGGGGGUGCCUUCGGGAGCCGUAAGACAGGUGGUGCACGGUUGUCGUCAGCUCGUGUCGUGAGAUGUUGGGUUAAGUCCCGCAACGAGCGCAACCCUCGUGGUCUGUUGUUACAGGUAGAAAUAUGCUGAACCCUCAGGCCAGACUGCCGGUGAUAAACCGGAGGAAGGUGGGGAUGACGUCAAAUCAUCACGCCCCUUAUGUCCAGGGCUACACACGUGUUACAAUGGGUACGGGACAAUGGGUUGCUUGGCAGCGAUGUCCGGCAAAUCCCCUAAACCCGCCCUCAGUUCGGAUCGUAGUCUGCAACUCGACUACGUGAAGUCGGAAUCGCUAGUAAACGCAGAUCAGCACGCUGCGUUGAAUACGUUCCCGGGUCUUGUACACACCGCCCGU
rnacentral:rRNA from 1 species